rnacentral:rRNA from 1 species
UACGUAGGUGGCAAGCGUUGUCCGGAUUUACUGGGCGUAAAGAGCGCGCAGGCGGUCGUUCAAGUCGCGUGUGAAAGCCCCGGCUCAACUGGGGAGGGUCACGCGAUACUGAUCGACUCGAAGGCAGGAGAGGGUAGUGGAAUUCCCGGUGUAGUGGUGAAAUGCGUAGAUAUCGGGAGGAACACCAGUGGCGAAGGCGACUACCUGGCCUGUUUCUGACGCUGAGGCGCGAAAGCU